ACGUAGGGUGCGAGCGUUGUCCGGAAUUAUUGGGCGUAAAGGGCUCGUAGGCGGUUUGUCGCGUCGGGAGUGAAAUCCACUGGCUUAACUGGUGGCUUGCUUUCGAUACGGGCAGACUGGAGGUAUGCAGGGGAGGACGGAAUUCCUGGUGUAGCGGUGAAAUGCGCAGAUAUCAGGAGGAACACCGAUGGCGAAGGCAGGUCUCUGGGCCACUACUGACGCUGAGAAGCGAAAGCAUGGGGAGCGAACAGGA
rnacentral:rRNA from 1 species